UACGUAGGGGGCAAGCGUUGUCCGGAAUCAUUGGGCGUAAAGAGCGUGUAGGCGGUCCGGUAAGUCGGCUGUGAAAGUCCAGGGCUCAACCCUGGGAUGCCGGUGGAUACUGUCGAGCUCGAGUCCGGAAGAGGCGAGUGGAAUUCCGUGGUGUAGCGGUGAAAUGCGCAGAUAUCAGGAGGAACACCAAUGGCGAAGGCAGCUCGCUGGGACGUGACUGACGCUGAGACGCGAAAGCGUGGGGAGCAAACAGG
rnacentral:rRNA from 1 species